rnacentral:rRNA from 1 species
GACGAACGCUGGCGGCGUGCCUAAUACAUGCAAGUAGAACGCUGAAGAGAGGAGCUUGCUCUUCUUGGAUGAGUUGCGAACGGGUGAGUAACGCGUAGGUAACCUGCCUUGUAGCGGGUGAUAACUAUUGGAAACGAUAGCUAAUACCGCAUAACAAUGGAUGACACAUGUCAUUUAUUUGAAAGGGGCAAUUGCUCCACUACAAGAUGGACCUGCGUUGUAUUAGCUAGUAGGUGAGGUAAUGGCUCACCUAGGCGACGAUACAUAGCCGACCUGAGAGGGUGAUAGGCCACGCUGGGACUGAGACACGGCCCAGAAUCCUACGGGAGGCAGCAGUAGGGAAUCUUCGGCAAUGGGGGCAACCCUGACCGAGCAACGCCGCGUGAGUGAAGAAGGUUGUCGGAUCGUAAAGCUCUGUUGUAAGUCAAGAACGGGUGUGAGAGUGGAAAGUUCACACUGUGACGGUAGCUUACCAGAAAGGGACGGCUAACUACGUG